rnacentral:rRNA from 1 species
AGUGAACGCUGGCGGUAGGCCUAACACAUGCAAGUCGAACGGCAGCACAGUAAGAGCUUGCUCUUACGGGUGGCGAGUGGAGGACGGGUGAGGAAUACAUCGGAAUCUACUUUUUCGUGGGGGAUAACGUAGGGAAACUUACGCUAAUACCGCAUACGACCUACGGGUGAAAGCAGGGGAUCUUCGGACCUUGCGCGAUUGCAUGAGCCGAUGUCGGAUUAGCUAGUUGGCGGGGUAAAGGCCCACCAAGGCGACGAUCCGUAGCUGGUCUGAGAGGAUGAUCAGCGACACUGGAACUGAGACACGGUCCAGACUCCUACGGGAGGCAGCAGUGGGGAAUAUUGGACAAUGGGGGCAAUCCUGAUCCAGCCAUACCGCGUGGGUGAAGAAGGCCUUCGGGUUGUAAAGCCCUUUUGUUGUGAAAGAAAAGCAGCAGGUUAAUACCCCGCUGUUCUGACGGUACCCAAAGAAUAAGCACCGGCUAACUUCGUG